ACUUUAAUAGUUUAAAACCCAAAACACCGGUCUUGUAAAUCGGAGCUGGAGCAUACUCCUUAAAGUA
rnacentral:tRNA from 1 species